rnacentral:lncRNA from 1 species
AAAGAAGGCAUUAUCUUGUUAAUCACAUUUCAAGUUUGAUCUCUGGAGAGCCAAAAAGGUGUGCUUCCCUAAAAAAUAAUUCCUGGUAUUAAACCAUGGAAAUUGGCUAGCUUUACCUCUUCAGACUGGGCUCUUCAUCAAUAGCAUCCCCUCCAGUGAACGUAGGGACCUUUCCGUAUUCCCAACCAGUGAUGCCCCUUCCACAUGUUCAGUGAGCAUAAUGGCUCCCUCUGUGUUUAGGGAGACAUGUGAUCUAAGUGG